rnacentral:snoRNA from 1 species
AUGAUGAUGAUGAGUAUCAGUGGCUACAUGAGGCAAAUUCAUGAGGGGCUGCCACGAGGGGCAUCCAGCAGG